rnacentral:lncRNA from 1 species
CGAUUUUAUAAUGCGAUAUCCCAGGACAAUGUAUCGCCGACCCUUUUAGAUUUUUAAGCACAUGCGGAAGCAGUUAAAAUCCCUAGACAAUAAAACGAUGGGAUAGAAAAGCAGGGCCAUAUUUUUCAUAUUGAAAUUUAUAACCAAACUUUUAUAUAAACCACAAACCCUUUCAUAACUAUUCACAUCAAAACGGAGAUCACAAAAGAAGACAGAAACUUAGAUGAACUAGGCCGUACUCAAGGCCCCUCUCAGAAUUGUCUUCUUCUUCCAAAAAUCCUUUUCUUCAGAUCUCACCUCCGAGUUCUCCUUCUCGGAUUCCUCCUCCUCAGCUCUUCAGCGGGGUCCUGAAAUGGUUUCCCCAAACUGGGAUGACUAUACGUCUCAGCGAGUUCUACCCCACUAAGCCCGAUUAGUAAACUAUUAUACUAAAGGCUGCCUAAACACGCACAGGGCAGAGGACUUACCUUGGCCUCUGAUCCUACCUGCAAGUCAGUACAAUUCACAAUGAACACCCAUUCACUUCAAACAAAUUGAACCAGUCGAUUACAUGUCAUACAAAACAAUCCCCGCUGUGGGAUAUUUAAAAGCUAGGCCACGUGUAUUCUCCAGGACGACCUUCCAAGUCUUCGAGUCACGUGCCUCGAACCUUGGGCCCACGUGCAUUCUCUAAGGUGACCUCUUCGCCAAGGUGAUACAUCAAGUCACCGAGCCACGUGCCCUUUUAGAUGCCUGCACUUAGUCACAGAGCUCCAUCAAUGCUCUCGGGCAUCGAUUCCCCAAGGUGACGUACAGUGAACACUUUACUAUGCUCUCGGGCGUCUUUUUCGCCAAGGUGAUACACUGAUCACAGAGCCAACGUAAACAAUUCAAUAUGCUCUCGGGCAUCUUUUUCGCCAAGGUGAUACACUGAUCACAGAGCCAACAUAAACAAUUCAAUAUGCUCUCGGGCGUCUUUUUCGCCAAGGUGAUACACUGAUCACAGAGCCAACAUAAACAAUUCAAUAUAAUCAACCACUAAACUCACGUGCAUUUUCCAGGUGAUAUUCCAAUUCACCGAGCCCACGUGCUUCCUUUCAGGUGAUAACCAAUACCCAACGAUUUCUCAAUCAAUUAAUUAAAUCAACUCAACAAAGCAUUAUAAAUGCUAAAUAACACACUUGGCCAAUUCAAUCUCAAUCAAUUCCAAUCAAAUUAGGGUAAAUCCCUAAAAUGUCACAAUUUAUUCAAUUCCAUACAACGUGGAGCUCAAAUAAAUAAACGGGCUGUGCCACGACGAUCAGCACGAGAUUUCGGUCGUCGGCCAUCAAAAUCUUAAUUUCCGAAAAAUAAUUAAUUUAUUUAUUAAUUUCGAAAAUUAAAUAAUUAUUAUAAAAAAUUCAAUUUAGCUCAAAAUAAAGCCCGAUUACAUAAACGGACUUCACCACGGUCAUCAGCACAAUAUUCCGGUCCCGGACCAUCUCAGUUGAAUUUUCGGAAAAUAAAUAAUUAUUUAAUUUAAUUCCGAAAAUUAAUAAUUAAAUACAAAAAUAUCCACUUAGGCCCGAAAAGCCUAAUUGGAGCCCACUAAGGGUCGGGAAAAAUCCCGAGGCACUUCCAAUAAUUAGUAGACCACGUCUACUUGCUAAUUACACAAUCAAUUUAUCUAAAUCGCAUCACAAUUGACUAAUAAUUGCUAAUUUAUUAUAAUCUAACAACCUAAACAUAAUUAAUUAAAUCUAAACCAACCUUAAGCAUAAUUAGCCAACUAAUCCAAGAUUAGUGAGAUUACUCACCAAAUCGCGCGCAAAUCAGAUCAAUCCGACGGCGGCGACGCGAGGAACGAUUGUUCCCAAAGCACGGCUCGGGUUCGGGGCCGGGAAACGGCCCAAAAGCGGGCCCGAAGAUGCUGAAACCCACUCCGUGGGUCUGCUGGACGGAGCCGAUCUGGGCUGCUCCGGCGGCUAGGGCGGCGAGGGGAAGCCGGCGGAGGGCGAGGGGGUUGCGGGGGAGGUCCGGCGGGGCUAGGCGGUGGCCAGAGGUGGCCGGAC